rnacentral:rRNA from 1 species
UACGGGGGGGGCAAGCGUUGUUCGGAAUUACUGGGCGUAAAGGGCGCGUAGGCGGGUCGUUAAGUCAGGGGUGAAAUCCCGGAGCUCAACUCCGGAACUGCCUUUGAUACUGGCGAUCUAGAGAUCGAGAGAGGUGAGUGGAAUUCCGAGUGUAGAGGUGAAAUUCGUAGAUAUUCGGAGGAACACCAGUGGCGAAGGCGGCUCACUGGCUCGAUACUGACGCUGAGGUGCGAAAGCGUGGGGAGCAAACAGG